GCCGGGGUGCCCGAGCGGUUAAGGGGCUGGCCUUGAGAGCCAGUGGGGGAUUCCCCGCGCGGGU
rnacentral:tRNA from 1 species